rnacentral:rRNA from 1 species
CCUACGGGAGGCUGCAGUGGGGAAUAUUGCACAAUGGGGGAAACCCUGAUGCAGCGACGCCGCGUGAGUGAAGAAGUAUUUCGGUAUGUAAAGCUCUAUCAGCAGGGAAGAAGAAAGACGGUACCUGACUAAGAAGCCCCGGCUAACUACGUGCCAGCAGCCGCGGUAAUACGUAGGGGGCAAGCGUUAUCCGGAUUUACUGGGUGUAAAGGGAGCGUAGACGGCAGUGCAAGUCUGGAGUGAAAGGCGGGGGCUCAACCCCCGGACUGCUCUGGAAACUGUACGGCUGGAGUGCAGGAGAGGUAAGUGGAAUUCCUAGUGUAGCGGUGAAAUGCGUAGAUAUUAGGAGGAACACCAGUGGCGAAGGCGGCUUACUGGACUGUAACUGACGUUGAGGCUCGAAAGCGUGGGGAGCGAACAGGAUUAGAUACCCGUGUAGUC